AUGGAGUCUGCCCUGUGUACACUGCUCUCAGCUCUGGUUGUGCUCCUGUGUUCUUCCCCAGAGUGUAAAGGAGAAGACACAGUGACCCAGACACAAGGAGACGCCUCUGUCCCUCAGGGACACACAGCCACAAUACAGUGCACUUUUGAAGCGGGCUCCACAAAUCCAAUACUGUUUUGGUAUAAACAAGAUGGACAGAAAUCUCUAAAAUACAUUUUAAGAAACUACAAAGCAGGGAAGAGCUGGAUUUCUUCUAAAUCUGAUGAAUUUAAUAAAGCCAGAUUUGAUACUAAGAAUCAAGGAAACUCUGCAGUGCUGAAGAUCCAGGAUGUGGAUGUGACAGACUCUGCUGUGUACUACUGUGCUCUGAGGCCCACAGUGACAGGAAACACCAAAACUCUGAACAAAAACCUCUGGAGCAAAGACAACACAAUCCUGCAGUAG